rnacentral:misc_RNA from 1 species
GAAAUGCGAUAAGUAAUGUGAAUUGCAGAAUUCAGUGAAUCAUCGAAUCUUUGAACGCACCUUGCGCUCCUUGGUAUUCCUUGGAGCAUGCCUGUUUGAGUAUCAUGAAAUCUUCAAAGUAAAUCUUUUGUUAACUCAAUUGGUUUCUACUUUGGUAUUGGAGGUCUUUGCAGCUUCACACCUGCUCCUCUUUGUUCAUUAGCUGGAUCUCAGUGUUAUGCUUGCUUCCACUCGGCGUGAUAAGUUAUCUAUCGCUGAGGACACUGUAAAAGGUGGCCAAGGUAAAUGCAGAUGAACCGCUUCUAAUAGUCCAUUGACUUGGACAAUACUUUUAUGAUCUGAUCUCAAAUCAGGUAGGACUACCCGCUGAACUUAAGC